UUCAGCAAACCAGGCACUGUUUCACAAUCAAAAGAUGUGCUGUCUUUGCAGUAGCCUGCUUCAUUAGCAUCUUAAUAAGCCAUGUACUGCAAGGAGCCCUUCUGAGCCUUUUUCCCAUUGAUGAUCUCCACACCAACAGAAGCUGAAUGAUCGGAGGAAACACAAGUGCUCAGUUGUUGUUGUUUCUCCCACACGAGUUAAGUGUCACUGACAGAUUUCAUACAAAUCUUCUGUAAAGAGAGACUCUGGUGUACAGUAUAUGAAUGUAGUUUUAUCUUCCUACAGAACAAAAGAACAAAAGACCCAGAACAAAACAAAAUAUUGAUUUUAUUUUUCUUUAAAAAACAGUACGGAGUAGGAGGAAGUGAAUACUCAUUAGGUCCUACCCCUCAUCAAUUCAUUAUGAGCUCAAAUAAAAUCAUUUAUUGAAUGUC